rnacentral:rRNA from 1 species
AGGACGAACGCUGGCGGCGUGCCUAACACAUGCAAGUCGAGCGAUGAAGCCCUCGGGUGGAUAGCGGCGGACGGGUGAGUAACACGUGGGUAACCUGCCUUAUAGAGGGGGAUAGCCUUCCGAAAGGAAGAUUAAUACCGCAUGAAAUGUUUUUAUCGCAUGGUAGAAACAUCAAAGGAGUAAUCCGCUAUAAGAUGGACCCGCGGCGCAUUAGCUAGUUGGUGAGGUAACGGCCCACCAAGGCGACGAUGCGUAGCCGACCUGAGAGGGUGAUCGGCCACAUUGGAACUGAGACACGGUCCAGACUCCUACGGGAGGCAGCAGUGGGGAAUAUUGCGCAAUGGGGGAAACCCUGACGCAGCAACGCCGCGUGAAUGAAGAAGGCCUUAGGGUUGUAAAGUUCUGUUUUCUGGGACGAUAAUGACGGUACCAGAGGAGGAAGCCACGGCUAACUACGUGCCAGCAGCAGC